rnacentral:rRNA from 1 species
AUGAACAUCUGGAAGCGACCUUCAUCUGGCCAACUAGUUCUGAACACGGAUGCGUCCUUCAUAGAAGAUAAUUAUUCUGGAUCUUGUGGUGCAGUUAUCCGAGAUGGCGCUGGUUACUUCAUUGCGGCCUCCACGGCGAAGCUGGAGCAUGUAUCUGACGUUGAAUCAGCGGAGGCGGCAGCUCUCCUUGAGGGCUUGAAGCUUGCUCGAUCAAUGGGAGGUAAUUCCAUCGUCCCCCGAGCGGAUAACAUCACAGUGGUGAAUGCAAUGACAAACAAUAAUGGACAUUCUAUGGUGGCUGGUCCCAUACUAGACGACUGUCGGCAAAUAUGCGCAGAUUUCGGGAAGGUCCUUUUUGAAUUUUGUAGCAGAGAAUCAAAUAUGAUAGCUCAUAGGCUAGCUCAGUAUGGUCGGGAUGAUCCACCGUCCUUGUGGUUGGACGUCCCACCUAAUUUUAUUUUGAAUUUACUUGCGGAUGAUGUAAGCAUUAUUUAA